GGGGGAAUAUUGGGCAAUGGGCGAAAGCCUGACCCAGCGACGCCGCGUGAGGGAAGACGGUCUUCGGACUGUAAACCUCUUUUAUAAGGGACGAAGAAGAUGACGGUACCUUAUGAAUAAGCCACGGCUAACUACGUGCCAGCAGCCGCGGUAAUACGUAGGUGGCGAGCGUUAUCCGAAUUUACUGGGUGUAAAGGGUGUGUAGGCGGGACUGCAAGUCAGAUGUGAAAACUAUGGGCUUAACUCAUAGCCUGCAUUUGAAACUGUGGUUCUUGAGGGUCGGAGAGGUAACUGGAAUUCCUGGUGUAGCGGUGAAAUGCGUAGAUAUCAGGAGGAACACCGGUGGCGAAGGCGGGUUACUGGACGAUUACUGACGCUGAGACACGAAAGCGUGGGGAGCAAACAGGAUUAGAUACCCUGGUAGU
rnacentral:rRNA from 1 species